AUAGAACGCUGGCGGAAUGCUUUACACAUGCAAGUCGAACGGCAGCACGGACUUCGGUCUGGUGGCGAGUGGCGAACGGGUGAGUAAUACAUCGGAACGUGCCCAAUCGUGGGGGAUAACGUAGCGAAAGCUACGCUAAUACCGCAUACGAUCUAAGGAUGAAAGCGGGGGAUCGCAAGACCUCGCGCGACUGGAGCGGCCGAUGGCAGAUUAGGUAGUUGGUAGGGUAAAGGCCUACCGAGCCGACGAUCUGUAGCUGCUUUGAGGGGGUGAGCAGCCCCACUGGGAGGGAGACACGGCCCAGACUCCUACGGGAGGCAGCAGUGGGGAAUUUUGGACAAUGGACGCAAGUCUGAUCCAGCCAUUCCGAGUGCAGGAUGAAGGCCUUCGGGUUGUAAACUGCUUUUGUACGGAACGAAAAGGUCCUGGUUAAUACCUGGGGCUCAUGACGGUACCGUAAGAAUAAGCACCGGCUAACUACGUGCCAGCAGCCGCAGUAACAC
rnacentral:rRNA from 1 species